UUCACUUUCUACGCCUUUAAAUUUUCUUUAAACUGUCUCAGUUGUACUUUGAAAAUCAAAGUAAAAACAUAAAAUUUUUAGAUUUUUGUUUUGUCGGCUGUGUUUUUGUACACAACCAUCCGGUCCAGUAAUCCUGUCACUGCCCCCCACAAAACAUGUGUAACGGUUGCUAUGCUAACUGUGGUCCUUGUUGUAGACCAUGCUGUUCAAGCAACUGUGGAUCAUGUUGCCAACCUUGUGGCCCAGUUUGCGGAUCCUGCUGUAGUCCUGGAUCGGCACGUUGUUAUGGGGGCGGCAGGCCGGUGAUAGGCACUCGCUUAUCCAAAAUGACUGGGCUUUGGACACUCAUUUAUUACAGAUAAAAUGACGAGAAUAAAUUUUCAUUGAAAGUA